GUUUUUUGUUAAUAUGACAUGUCUCGGCAGUGUAGUGACCCUGUGCUUAAUUAAGGCUUCAGGCUCAAAUCAUGGUAAACCAAAAUGUAAGCGGCCGGUUGAAAAAGUAGCAGAGUCGAAAAUGGAAAUUAAUGAGCUGCAGAAGUAAAUUUUAGAAGAAUAAUUCUCUUCUUUGUUGUAUCCUUGUGGCUGAGGGACAUGACGAAUGAGGCCAUUCUUUACCAGUGCUCUUCACGCCACUCAAUCCUGGGCCCGGUGCAUGCUAGCCUGCAGUGGUCUUUGUCAGAGAUGUUAUUGUGUCUGCCCAAUGUGUGCCCAUGCUGCCACUUCUUCACUUCCUUGCCGUGUCCUGUGAUUAUGGGAAUAAUAUGCAAAUAAAAACCAACAAUGGGCCAUCGAAGAACAGGAGAGGGCAUGUGGGCCUUAGAGAAAGAGUUGUUAAUGUGAAGACUAAAUAAAUUCAACAAAUAAAAUCUCAACUAUAAUACUGUCUUUGGUACACCCGCUACCAUCGCGUCAAAUAGUGAAAGUGCAGUUCAGUGUAAGCAAAGACAGUGUACAAGAUAUACCACUCACCUAUGGCAUUAGUGUUACUAGACCACAUUAAUACAUAAAGACUAUUUUUCUAAACUUGUCCAAAAAUUUUAUUAAAAAGGUGUCGGAACGCCUUACAGGUGUCUCGAGGGACCAAAUAGCGGGUUCCUUCUUUGCUCAGAGGUUGAGUCUGGCGGUGCAAAGGGGAAACGCCGCAAGCAUUCUUGGGUCUAUGCCGGAGGCAGGGGAUCUGAGGGGGUUUUUUAUAUUUAGUUAUAACCUGCUUGUGUUAGUUUUAGUCUUUAGGGUUUUAAGAUUUAAUUAUAAGAUUAAAUAUAUUGUUCGUAGUUGUUGUUGAAUAAGCAGUGUUUGUGUGUCUGACUAACGAAAAUAUAAAUUCAGAUUCUAAACGUCUAAACUUGUGUAUAGCUCUGUGUUGUCUUAAUAAAUCCUAUUGGAAACGC